rnacentral:rRNA from 1 species
GACCAACCCUUAAAGACUGCUACAUCUUCAGGAUAUUCUAGUCCAACAUCGAGGUCACAAACUCUCUUUUCAAUAAGAACUCUUAAAGAGAAUUAUGCUGUUAUCCCUACGGUAACUAAUUCCAUUGAUCAAAAUUUUUGGAUCAAUACUUGCCAGUUUUCUCAGUGAUAAAGAAGCUUUAUUUGUUCCAUAGUCGCCCCAACCAAAAUCUUCAAUAGAUUAAUAUUUAGAAUUAUAUAUUGUUCUCAAUUCAUUUUUUUAAAGCUCAAUAGGGUCUCCUUGUCUUUCAAUAUUAUUUAGGUUUCUUCACCUAAAAAUCAAAUUCUAAAAAAUUAUAUAGAGACAGUUUUGUUCACGUCAAACCAUUCAUACUAGCCCUCAAUUAUAGGGCAAAUGAUUAUGCUACCUUUGCACGGUCAGAGUACCGCGGCCGUUAAAAUUUAUUCACUGGGCAGGUCCGACUC